rnacentral:rRNA from 1 species
CUACGGGGCGCACCAGUGGGGAAUAUUGCACAAUGGAGGAAACUCUGAUGCAGCAACGCCGCGUGGAGGAUGACACUUUUCGGAGCGUAAACUCCUUUUAUAUAGGAAGAAGAUGACGGUACUAUAUGAAUAAGCGCCGGCUAACUCCGUGCCAGCAGCCGCGGUAAUACGGAGGGCGCAAGCGUUACUCGGAAUCACUGGGCGUAAAGGACGCGUAGGCGGGUUGGAAAGUCAGGUGUGAAAUCCUACAGCUUAACUAUAGAACUGCUUCUGAAACUCUUAAUCUAGAAUAUGGGAGAGGUAGAUGGAAUUUCUGGUGUAGGGGUAAAAUCCGUAGAGAUCAGAAGGAAUACCGAUUGCGAAGGCGAUCUACUAGAACAUUAUUGACGCUGAGACGCGAAAGCGUGGGGAGCAAACAGGAUUAGAUACCCGCGUAGUC